rnacentral:rRNA from 1 species
UCCACGCCGUAAACGAUGUCAACUAGCCGUUGGGCCUAUUUAUAGGCUUAGUGGCGGAGCUAACGUAUUAAGUUGACCGCCUGGGGAGUACGGCCGCAAGGUUAAAACUCAAAUGAAUUGACGGGGGCCCGCACAAGCGGUGGAGCAUGUGGUUUAAUUCGAUGCAACGCGAAGAACCUUACCUACCCUUGACAUCCAGAGAAUCUGUUAGAGAUAGUAGAGUGCCUUCGGGA